rnacentral:rRNA from 1 species
AUGCUCAAGAGAAGACACUAUAAUGUGGGAGAUGACCUAACCUGCCUCCUUUGCGGGCAAAUAGAAGAAGAUGUGGACCACAUGAUCCUGAACUGCCCGUUCAGCAAGUACUGUUGGUCAAAACUUGGGAUGAACCCCGAACAUCAUACCACUCGACUGACAUGGUUGGAAACAGCAAAACGUAAUUGGCACAAACCCAUGUUCAUGGAGGCCUUUCUACAAGCAUCUUGGAGUAUAUGGAAGGAGAGGAAUGACAAGCUUUUCAGAAAUAUCAGCCCCUCCUACAAUUCCUGGCUAACUAGAUUCAAAACAUAUUUUGGCUUACUUCAGUAUAGAGUGAAAGAUACCAUGAAGGAUUUCAUCUUCCUACUCCUCGACUCUCUACCUUCUGACUAG